AUACGGAGGAUGCGAGCGUUAUCCGGAUUUAUUGGGUUUAAAGGGUGCGUAGGUGGUAGAUUAAGUCAGCGGUGAAAGUUUGUCGCUCAACGAUAAAAUUGCCGUUGAUACUGGUUUACUUGAGUAUAGUUGAAGUAGGCGGAAUGCGUGGUGUAGCGGUGAAAUGCAUAGAUAUCACGCAGAACUCCGAUUGCGAAGGCAGCUUACUAACACACGACUGACGCUCAGGCGCGAAGGCGUGGGGAUCAAACAGGAUUAGAUGCCCUGGUAGUCCACGCUGUGAACGAUGAUUACUGGUUGUUAGCGAUAGAUAGCUAGUGACUGAGCGAAAGCAUUAAGUAAUCCACCUGGGGAGUACGUCGGCAACGAUGAAACUUAAAGGAAUUGACGGGG
rnacentral:rRNA from 1 species